rnacentral:misc_RNA from 1 species
AUGAGAGUUUGUAACACCCGAAGCCGGUGGCGUAACCCUUUUAGGGAGCGAGCCGUCUAAGGUGGGACAAAUGAUUAGGGUGAAGUCGUAACAAGGUAGCCGUAGGAGAACCUGCGGCUGGAUCACCUCCUUUCUAAGGAAACAGACUGAAAGUCUGACGGAAACCUGCACACACGAAACUUUGUUUAGUUUUGAGGGGAUCACCCUCAAGCACCCUAACGGGUGCGACUUUGUUCUUUGAAAACUGGAUAUCAUUGUAUUAAUUGUUUUAAAUUGCCGAGAACACAGCGUAUUUGUAUGAGUUUCUGAAAAAGAAAUUCGCAUCGCAUAACCGCUGACGCAAGUCAGUACAGGUUAAGUUACAAAGGGCGCACGGUGGAUGCCUUGGCACUAGGAGCCGAUGAAGGACGGAACUAAUACCGAUAUGCUUCGGGGAGCUAUAAGUAAGCUUUGAUCCGGAGAUUUCCGAAUGGGGGAACCCAGUACACAUCAGUGUAUUGCUUGUCAGUGAAUACAUAGCUGGCCGGCGGCAGACGCGGGGAACUGAAACAUCUCAGUACCCGCAGGAAGAGAAAGAAAACUCGAUUCCCAUAGUAGCGGCGAGCGAAGUGGGAAGAGCCCAAACCGAGAAGCUUGCUUCUCGGGGUUGUAGGACUGGACAUUGGAGUUACCAAAGUCCGACGUAGUCGAAGUCAGCUGGAAAGCUGCGCCACAGAAGGUGAAAGCCCUGUAAGCGAAACGUCGAACCCUCCGUCCAGGAUCCUGAGUACGGCGGAACACGUGAAAUUCCGUCGGAAUCCGGGAGGACCAUCUCCCAAGGCUAAAUACUCCCUAGUGACCGAUAGUGAACCAGUACCGUGAGGGAAAAGGCGAAAA